UGCUUCACAGAGGACUCCAUUAUUGCCUAAGGGUAGAAUGGGGGCUUGAAUCCCUGUAUUAGAACACAAUAACACUUCAUUGGCAUACAGUUUGGCUGUUAAUCACAUCCCCCCACUUAUUACAUUUGUCUACCAUGGUGACCACGUGUAAUGGGGAAUCAGGGUUCGAUUGCGGAGAGGGAGCCUGAGAAACGGCUACCACAUGCAAGGAAGGCAGCAGCCGACGCGGGAAGGUAGUGACGACAAAUAACAAUACAGAACUCUUUACAGGCCCUGUAAUUGUAAUGAGUCCACUUGAAAUCCUUUAACUCUGAUCAAUUGGAGGGCAAGUCUGGUGCAGAGCGACUGACCCGUGCAUGCUGCAGCUGAAAU